rnacentral:tRNA from 1 species
GCCGGGGUUCCCUAGCCAGGUAAGGGGUCGGCCUCGAGAUCAAUAAUAUGAUAUAAGCUGGCUAGUCGAUGACCAUAAAGGUCUCGUGGGUUCAAAUCCCAUUCCCGGCG